rnacentral:rRNA from 1 species
UACGGAGGGUGCAAGCGUUAUCCGGAUUCACUGGGUUUAAAGGGUGCGUAGGCGGGCAGGUAAGUCCGUGGUGAAAUCUCUGAGCUUAACUCAGAAACUGCCAUGGAUACUAUUUGUCUUGAAUGUUGUGGAGGUAAGCGGAAUAUGUCAUGUAGCGGUGAAAUGCUUAGAUAUGACAUAGAACACCAAUUGCGAAAGGCAGCUUACUACACAAAUAUUGACGCUGAGGCACGAAAAGCGUGGGGGAUCAAACAGG